GAACGCUGGCGGCGUGCCUAAUACAUGCAAGUCGAGCGAACGGACGAGAAGCUUGCUUCUCUGAUGUUAGCGGCGGACGGGUGAGUAACACGUGGAUAACCUACCUAUAAGACUGGGAUAACUUCGGGAAACCGGAGCUAAUACCGGAUAAUAUUUUGAACCGCAUGAUUCAAAAGUGAAAGACGGUCUUGCUGUCACUUAUAGAUGGAUCCGCGCUGCAUUAGCUAGUUGGUAAGGUAACGGCUUACCAAGGCAACGAUGCAUAGCCGACCUGAGAGGGUGAUCGGCCACACUGGAACUGAGACACGGUCCAGACUCCUACGGGAGGCAGCAGUAGGGAAUCUUCCGCAAUGGGCGAAAGCCUGACGGAGCAACGCCGCGUGAGUGAUGAAGGUCUUCGGAUCGUAAAACUCUGUUAUUAGGGAAGAACAUAUGUGUAAGUAACUGUGCACAUCUUGACGGUACCUAAUCAGAAAGCCACGGCUAACUACGUGCCAGCAGCCGCGGUAAUACGUAGGUGGCAAGCGUUAUCCGGAAUUAUUGGGCGUAAAGCGCGCGUAGGCGGUUUUUUAAGUCUGAUGUGAAAGCCCACGGCUCAACCGUGGAGGGUCAUUGGAAACUGGAAAACUUGAGUGCAGAAGAGGAAAGUGGAAUUCCAUGUGUAGCGGUGAAAUGCGCAGAGAUAUGGAGGAACACCAGUGGCGAAGGCGACUGUCUGGUCUGUAACUGACGCUGAUGUGCGAAAGCGUGGGGAUCAAACAGGAUUAGAUACCCUGGUAGUCCACGCCGUAAACGAUGAGUGCUAAGUGUUAGGGGGUUUCCGCCCCUUAGUGCUGCAGCUAACGCAUUAAGCACUCCGCCCUGGGGAGU
rnacentral:rRNA from 1 species